AACGAACGCUGGCGGCAUGCCUAACACAUGCAAGUCGAACGAGAACUUCGGGUCCUGGGGCGCGCGGGGUUAUCACGCGACGGGAGCUUCACUUAGGGUCGGAAUAACUAUCCGACUGGGGUGCUAUUACCGAACAAUGUCUACGGACCGAAGAUAUAUUGCAUUUGUUGGGGCCCGCGUUGCAUUAGCUAGUUGGUAGGGUAAAAGCCUACCAAGGCGCCGAUUCGUAGCUGGGUAGAGAGACAGGUCAGCCACACUGGGACUGGGACACGGCCCAGACUCCUACGGGAGGCAGGAGUGGGAAAUGUUGGACAAUGGGGGAAAGCCUGAUGCUGCAAUGCCGCUUGAGUGAUGAAGGCCUUAGGGUUGUAAAGCUCUUUUACCCGGGAUGAUAAUGACAGUACCGGGAGAAUAAGCUCCGGCUAACUCCGUG
rnacentral:rRNA from 1 species